GAUGAACGCUGGCGGCGUGCCUAAUACAUGCAAGUCGAGCGAACAGACGAGGAGCUUGCUCCUCUGACGUUAGCGGCGGACGGGUGAGUAACACGUGGAUAACCUACCUAUAAGACUGGGAUAACUUCGGGAAACCGGAGCUAAUACCGGAUAAUAUAUUGAACCGCAUGGUUCAAUAGUGAAAGACGGUUUUGCUGUCACUUAUAGAUGGAUCCGCGCCGCAUUAGCUAGUUGGUAAGGUAACGGCUUACCAAGGCAACGAUGCGUAGCCGACCUGAGAGGGUGAGCGGCCACACUGGAACUGAGACACGGUCCAGACUCCUACGGGAGGCAGCAGUAGGGAAUCUUCCGCAAUGGGCGAAAGCCUGACGGAGCAACGCCGCGUGAGCGAUGAAGGUCUUCGGAUCGUAAAACUCUGUUAUUAGGGAAGAACAAAUGUGUAAGUAACUAUGCACGUCUUGACGGUACCUAAUCAGAAAGCCACGGCUAACUACGUG
rnacentral:rRNA from 1 species